rnacentral:rRNA from 1 species
AACGAACGCUGGCGGCAGGCUUAACACAUGCAAGUCGAACGGGUGUCGCAAGACAUCAGUGGCAGACGGGUGAGUAACACGUGGGAACCUUCCUAGGGGUACGGAACAACUCAGGGAAACUUGAGCUAAUACCGUAUACGUCCGUAAGGAGAAAGAUUCAUCGCCCCUAGACGGGCCCGCGUCGGAUUAGCUUGUUGGUGGGGUGAUGGCCUACCAAGGCGACGACGGGUAGCCGGCCUGAGAGGGCGACCGGCCACACUGGGACUGAGACACGGGCCAGACUCCUACGGGAGGCAGCAGUGAGGAAUCUUGCGCAAUGGACGGAAAGUCUGACGCAGCGACGCCGCGUGGGGGAUGACGGCC